GGAUUUGAACUCAGGACCUUUGGAAGAGCAGGUAGUGCUCUUACCCUCUGAGUUAUCUCUCCAGCCCAUCUAUGAUCAUUCUUAAUAUCAUAUCCUAAAUCCUCAAAUAUCUUUAGUGAGUCUUAGAAAAUGGAAUUUUAUUGGUUUUUAAAGUUCUUUUGUAUUAUUUAUGUUUCUGUGUUUUGAGACAGGAGCUCACAAACCUAGGCUGGAUACAAACUGGCUGUAUAGCCAGAAGUGACUUUAAACUGAUCUUCUGCCUCUGCCUUCCAAGUGCUGGGGUUGCAGGUACUUGCUGGUACAUCAUCUGGCUCUGAAUUUUCUUACAUAGAAAAAAAAAAGAGAGAGAGAGACUAUGAAAUUUUCUGACAUGUUAUUGGUGCUAAAAUGACUAGUAUAUUUUUAGGGAAAAGAUAAUUGGAAAGUAUUCUACUGUAAAAAUGAGAUAUUUACCUAAAAUUAUACUUGAUCUUUGCCAAAAGGCUGAGAAAUGAUUAAAAUUUAUAUUUCAAGCACACCUAUGCUAAGUCCUCUACCCAUCAUAGGUACAUAUAUACCUUACAUGUAUAUUCAGCAAAUGACUUUUGGUUGGUGUUUUCAGACUGGUUCCCUAUGAAGCACAGAUUGGCCUCAGCCUCCUAAGUACAUGAGAAUAUAGACCUGCCAUGCCACACUGAGAAGUUUCCAAUUUUAUUCUGGGUGAUUGCCCUAACAGUUGUUUCUCUGUCUCAACUGUGUGUCAGAAUCAUUUGUGGAACAUUUUCAAAGUAUUUUUGUCUUGGUCUUAUUCUAUAGAUUAAGCCCAGGACAAGAGAGUUAUUUUGCAGUUCAUUUUAGGGGAAAGGGAGGAUUUGCAGUCCUGUGCAUUUUGUGUUUUGUUAGCAAUACACUUGAACCUAAUUUUGUCAAUCAAUUUCUGACUUGAACUCAAAUAUAGGGAGAAGUUCAGCACUUAGAUUGAUUAGGUUUAUGAGACAGUGAUUGCACAGGCAUGACUCAAAUGUAUUAUUUCACACAUUCAUGAGUUUUGGGAACCUUCUCAAUUAAGGUUUCUGGCUCCAGAGUUAUGUUUUUAAUAUGUUUUAAUGCAUUGGCUAUUUUUAUCUAUCACAAAUAAUUAUUUGGUAUUUGCUGUGUCCUAGGCAUUGUUCUAGCAAAUACUAUUGUGUAAAAGGAGAGGCGCCAGAUUAGUUAUCUAUAAAGUCCCACCUAGGCUCUAAUUGCCAUCAUUUUUAUGUGUGUCAUAGAAACUGAUUUAGGUAGAUAUAAGCAGUAGACCAUUAAACCAAUGGGAUUGUCCUAUUUUCAGUUUCUUUAAAAUAACAUAGUCUGAAUUUAUUUUCUCUAGUGAAGGAUGUAUCAAGGAUAGUGUAAAUGAGGUUUUGGGUUUUUUUGAGACAGGGUCUCACCAUGUGUGUAACCUUGGUUGGUCUGAAACUUGAUAGAUGGACCAGGCUGGCCUUAAACUCAAAGAGAUCCACUUGCCUCUGCCUCCCAGUGCUAGGAUACCAAGUCUGUUAUGCCCAGCUGGAUAUGAGUUCUUUGAGCAUUCUUCACAUAUGGGCUUUAGGAAUUGAGUCUUUACUUUCCUACAUUGGGUGCCUUUGUAUUAAUUCAUUUUGUUUAGUUGCUUUGGUUGUUGUUUUCCCACAGAUCUGCUCAUACCUGUCAGCUCUUGGAAGCCUGAGGCAGGAACAUUGCUUGUGAAUGGAGGUGAUGGACAAUGCAGGGAGAUUCUAUCUCAAAAUUGUGUGUGGUGUGUGUGCUUUUAGGGUCUUUUGGGUUGUUGGAUUCUGUCUACACAAACUCAGUUCUAAGUCACUCAUUGAUAGAUCCUUAGCCCUCAGAAAAUGUCUGGCACACCCAUUUGGUGGACAUAGUCAAUUCUCUGUAUUUGGUUACAUUUAUUUAUGAGGGGGGGAGUUCUUGUAGAAAUCAAGAGGACAACUUGCCUUUCACCAUCUGGGUCUCUGGAAUGAAACUCAAGAUACACCUUUCUUUGUCCACUGAGCCAUUUUACCAGCCUUCAACAAGAUUUUUAAAAAAUACUUUUGCUGGGGCUAGUUCCAUGGUUUAGAGGAUUUAUUGCUUUUCUAGGGGACUUGGAUUCAGUUCCUAUCACCUACAUGGUGAUUCACAACCUUCCAUAACUCUAGUUUCAGAGAAUCCAAUGCUGCCUUCUGAUCUCUCAGCAUCAGGCAUGUACAUGGUGAUCAUGCAUGUUGGCAAAAAAGGAACUUCACAUUAAUCAGUCAUUAAAAUAUUUGCUAUUUUGAUAUUUCCCUUCACUAGUUAGAGGAGUCCUGACUUAUGUGAGUGAGCGGGCGGGCGAGAGAGAGAGAGAAUCAAUCACUUGGUUAGCCUGGAGCUUGCUGUGUAGUCCAGGCUGGCCUGGAACUCAGACAUGGGUCAUCCCACCCCAUCCAUCUAUCUUAUGUGUCUGUUAAAUGCACACAUGGAUUCUGUGCCUUUGAGACCAAAAGAAAACAUUGGGUCUUUUGGAACUGGAGUUAUAGUUGUAAGCCACAAGGUGGCUUGCUAGCAACCAAACCUAGGUCCUCUGCAAGAGCAAGUACUCUUUUGGUUUUUCGAGACAGGGUUUCUCUGUGUAUCCCUGGCUGUCCUGGAACUCACUUUGCAGACCAGGCUGGCCUUGAACUCAGAAAUCCACCUGCUUCUGCUUCCCAAGCGCUGGGAUUAAAGGCGUGCGCCACCACUGCCCGGCCAAGAGCAAGUACUCUUAACUGCUGAGCCUUGAUAGUUCCUUUACGAUGAAUUCUGCAAUGAAUCUAGUCUUUUGUUUAUUUUUUGUUUUUCAAGACAAAAGAGUUUCUCUGUGUAACAAUCCUGGCUGUCAUAAAGCUUGCUUUGUAGUCCAGUCUCCGAGAUCUGCCUGCCUCUGCUUUCCCAAUAUUGGGUUUAAAGGUGUGCAUCACCACUGUACUGCUAAACCUAGUCCUUCUGAACAGAAGGAAAUGGCCCAGUGAGAUGAAGAAACAUAACCAAGAUAGCAUGUAUAAUAUAGAUUACCUUCUUCAUGAAGUUAUUUCCAUAAUGAACUAAUACCAGUUGUUUUUUAAACAAAUACCUUUGCCAUCAUUCAUCAGUUAAUGGAUAGUUAAGGUCAGGGAUUUUGUCCUUUACUUUUUAUUAUUUGCAGUACACUUACAACAUUAUUGAUCUCCUUGAAUGGCAAAAUUGGGGUCCUAUUUGAUUUGCUUGCAGUACCAGGGAUUGAAACCAGGCCUUGGACAUGCUUUAGCAAGUGUUCUCUUUGCCACUAACCUGUAUGUAUCUCCAAUGCCAUUCUUUCAUCUUUUAUUUACUUUUUAUUUUGAAACAGAGUCUCACAGACUUGCUGAGGCUGGUUUUCAUUAAAUUCAUUUUCUUUUAUUUUUUUAUAUUAUUUUUAUUUAUACAAAUACACUGUAGCUGUCUUCAGACACAGCAGUAGAGGGCAUCGGAUCCCAUUACGGAUGGUUGUGAGCCACCAUGUGGUUGCUGGGAAUUGAACUCGGGACCUCUGGAAGAGCAGUCAGUGCUCUUAACUGCUGAGCCAUCUCCCCAACCGGAAGUUCAUUUUCUUUUGACUGACUAAUUGUAAAGAUAAAUGUCACAGGGCUGAUAUUCUGAAAGAGUUUUUAAAAAGUUGCAUGUUUAUUGGCAGGGUUAGCUAACCCUUGAACAAAACAAAAGGAAAACUUCAGCUGGGCAUGCAAGCCUUUAAUUCCAGCACUUGGGAGGCAGAAGCAGAGACCAGUGUUCUCUUGAGUUUGAGCCUUGCUACUAUUCUACAUAGCUACAUAGCAAGACUUUGUCUCAAAAAAACAAA
rnacentral:lncRNA from 1 species